rnacentral:rRNA from 1 species
AACGAACGCUGGCGGCAUGCCUAACACAUGCAAAUCGAACGAGACCUUCGGGUCUAGUGGCGCACGGGUGCGUAACGCGUGGGAACCUGCCCUUAGGUUCGGAAUAACUCCCCGAAAGGGGUGCUAAUACCAGAUAAUGUCUUCGGACCAAAGAUUUAUCGCCUUUGGAUGGGCCCGCGUUGGAUUAGCUAGUUGGUAGGGUAAAAGCCUACCAAGGCGACGAUCCAUAGCUGGUCUGAGAGGAUGAUCAGCCACACUGGGACUGAGACACGGCCCAGACUCCUACGGGAGGCAGCAGUGGGGAAUAUUGGACAAUGGGCGAAAGCCUGAUCCAGCAAUGCCGCGUGAGUGAUGAAGGCCUUAGGGUUGUAAAGCUCUUUUACCCGGGAUGAUAAUGACAGUACCGGGAGAAUAAGCUCCGGCUAACUCCGUG